rnacentral:misc_RNA from 1 species
GGGUCUACUCCCUGUAUCUCUCCAUGGUGUGGGGAGAAAUGGGAACUACUGAACUGUGAUGAAACUGAUUGUAAUGGAAAUGGAGUUUGUACUAAUGGAUCUUGUAAGUGUAAAGCAGGAUGGUAUGGUAGUCUCUGUGAGAAAUAUAUGGUCCUGGUUGUGAAUACUCUUGUUAUUGUAAUGAUAAUGGAGUAUGUCAUCAUGUAACUGGAUCAUGUAUAUGAAAUACAGGAUAUACUGGAUCACACUGCAUG